CUUGUUCAUUGCUACGGCUUUCAUCCCAACCCUUUUCUUGGUAUCUCGUAUAAUACACAGAUACUGAGAAAUUUAUAGGCUGUGUCAUAUAUCCUUGCUUGGUUCUCACUGUCUGCUUUAUCUGAUGUGUUGAAACUGAAUUUUCCACUCCCACAAAAAGCAAGUGCUCGACUUGCUGUGGAAUUGGGAUCACAACUGGGUUUGAUUGAGCAAUUGUUCAAUGGUCGAUACUCGAUUCCGGUUCAAGAAGCCCGUGAUGAAUUGCCUUGCCUCACAGUUUCACUGUAGCCAACCCCUGCAUUUCAGGGCACCCUAAUGUAUUUGCUUUUAAGGGUUAUCAUCUCUUGUGGCUUAUAAUUUCAUACAAGUGUUCCUGGACCUUCUGAUUGUCAUAGUCGUGCUUAAUAUUCCUUUCGCUUUACUAAUUAUGUUGCAUAUACCUUUUAUGGUUUUAUUUCCACCAUUCCCAUGUCUAGGUUGUAAGGUACUUAUGGACUGGCUUUUGCAUACAGAAUUUGAAAUUGAUCAACUUAUGAGGCUAGUGAUUUGUAAAAGCCAAGGACUGCGACUUUUAUCCCGCUACAGUGAGUUAAUGGGCAGGCUGGUGUGUGACAAGAGAUGCUGCGUUGCUGGAACUGGCCUUCUUGGUUCAUCCUUAAUUAUAAUCUUGGUAGAAUCAAACCAACCUUUGUAUUGUCAGUUGUUGCAAAUAGGAAAUAUCUGAAGAAAGUUUUCUUAUUCACAUAGGCGACUCAUAAGUUUUGUCAAAUACUCAUCUCAUUCCUUCUUUCUUUUAUCUGGGUUCCUACAUUCUAAACAUGCGUAAUGGGCCGGGAAACUCGUUUUUCUUGUAUUACCUUGGAUAUAGUUGUGCUCUAUUAAGGGUGUCAAUUUGCUUCUUUGUGUUUUGGUAGCAUGUGUAUGUUGCCAUGCAGAACCGAUCCACUGUUGCCUGACAUGCCUGUUGUGUAACCAGUGAUGCCUUCUAAAAACUGACAGGUGCUUGACUUGUAUACUUUAUAUGCUAUACCUAUUUGGUUCAUCUCAUACGUGACAUUUCAUAGACUAAGAAUAAAUCCUGUUUAUAUACAUGUGGAACUUUCGGAUUAAUGACCUUAAUCAUGCUAAUGGAAUCUAUUUUCUUCAAUAGUAUAUGCUAGAUAUGAAGUUCUGGUCGCAAUUGUAGAUUUUUGAGUGGGAUGGAUCCUGAUUUCACACCUAUAUCCAAUGUUGCUAUUCUCCUCUUUAGCUUCAUACAUCAUUAUUAUUUGCUUUAUAUGAGCAAGGUCCACAUUUUUUUUCCUUUUUUGGUAACUUUCCCAACAUAGAACAGAUAACAAAGUGGCAAGGGGGUUGGACUGAGUUUUGGCUUUGGUAAUUGUUAUGCAGAUAAAGGAGAGCAUUCAAUUUUAGUAAGCAUGCACAAAAGGUGCUAUAAACUAUAGGAGGGACACAAGUUCAUUUAGGAACUUCCAUCACAUUUCAGCUGUUCAGAGUGCCUCUGCGAGGUAAUCUUGUUCCUAUCAUAACUUUCAUUUCUUAUUUCCAGUAUAAUGCUUCUGGAUAUGCAUCUCUCGUUUGUACAUCUCUGAAUGGAUGCCUGUUCAAUCUGAUUUUUAUCAACUUCCUAUUCCUUCCACUUUAUCAACCGGGAUGUUGAAGAUUCUUGUCGUUUGAUGUAUCAGCUGUCAAAUAACCUUUGUCUAAUGAGGUUAAGAUGGCCAAACCUAUAUAAAAAAUAAAAAAAUUAGUUCUGACUUGUAGUUGAUACACGUUGACAUUGUACAUCAAUACACAACUACUUGAAUCAAAAUUUUGGCUGUGCAGUAUAGCCAUUUUUUCCUUGUUUAUCCUUUCUGAAAGUCUGGGAAAAACAAUGUAAGCCCGGUAAUUCUUUCUUCUGCCUGGAAAUUUGCUUAAACUGGUGCAGUGCAGUGGAUAAUGCUGGAUGGGGUUGUGUGCUUGCUGCUGGUGUCAAUUAAAAUGGUGGUACAUCUCAAUCUGUUUGUCUUUUCUUUUCCCCUCUUAUUUGUUUCAACUUUCCUCCCGCUCUUAUAUCCAUGCUUUGCUUUAGUUAUUACAAUGCACAGAGUUUGUUGCAGUUUGCUUUUCCAAAGAUCAAAUUGGGAACUGUACAUAUACAAGCAACAUAAAUUCCUCAUUGCAUCCUAUGAGGAGUCCUAAUUUAAAUAUGUGAAGUGAUUCCAUACUGCUUGCUUGCAGGGUAUUGUUCAUUGGCAUGGAGUAGACAUGUUUUUCCUGUUUUGUGUACUUAUUUGCAAAAAUAUACAUACAUCCGCCACUGUCUUAAUAUCACCUGCCAUUUCUUGCUAUCCUUGCCAAUGAAUUUGAAAGUUUUUUUCUUUAUUUGGCUAUAUUGCACACAAUGAAUUACUUAUGUAGGAGAAUAUGAUGAAUUAGAACUUAAAGGAACUGAAAAAUGGAAAUCUUGUUAAGGUGAUUGUGACACAUUCCUUGAUUAACACUACCUACGCAAAUAUAUUAUUUAACUUGCUAGAUAUUUCAGAUAUUGUUGGAAACAUUCAUAUUUCAUAGACCGCGAGCCAUUUGUUAGCGUAAGGGAGUACAAUAAUGAAUGCCCUUUUUAGUUCCGGAGGAGGAUAGAUUAUGGGCUGUAUCGAUGUAAAUGCAAGAAUUAGGCCUUCCAUAGGACCACCAAUGAGCAUGCAACUGAUGGGUUAUGGAACUAUCAAAAAACUUUCCCAUGAAAUCUACCUAGGAUCUCUUGUUCUCUUUCUUUGGUCCAAAUGACUAACUUGUUCAAAGAUUUUGCAAGCAUUUAUUCUUAUUUGCUCUUCUUUCCUUACAGCCAAAAAGAGUGGUAACGAGUAGUGUUUUAAAUUUAAUUACCCCUGAAUCCCAACUGAAGUGAAAAUUCCUUGAUUUUGAGCUCAUAAUUUGUUGACCUAUUUUUUAAUUUUCUUGAAUUUUGGGUGGUAUUUUAAUAUGAUAGCUUCUGCUGCAUCUUACGGGGUCUUCUGAUCCUUGUCUUUUGCUGUGUGUUCAACACGCAGAAUAUAGCAUACUGUGAAGGAGUUCAGACAGAUGAAAGUUGUAAGAAUCAGGAUAGAGCUGGGCUGAGCCCUGAGGCGCGACAACAGAAUACAAGUCACAGAACAAUGUCAGGAACACUCCCGAGCCUGACUUGUGAUUUUCAUGAGAACAGAAUUGAGAGAAUAGGAGAAAUAGAGAGAAAUGGGGAAGGAUCAGACAGAAUGAAGGAAGAAAACAGAGAAAGAUGAAGGAGAAAUAGGCAGGAAGUAAGGAGAAAUAGACAGAUCCGAGAGAGAGAGAGAAGGGAGAAUUGCAGAGAGAAGGAAUACUUUUAUAAAAUUGGCCAAGAGGUGUACAGCUUUAUAUAUAAGCUGUUCACACCUUAUACGGGGCAGUUUUCACUCCUCCAUUAGAGGUUUCCCUCGUACUGAAUUCAAUAUGAUCAAACGCCUGUUUGCUAUGUUGUGUUGGUUAUGCCAACCAAGUAAAUUGGAGGCUGAAUUCAGGACAGAUUGUUGGAUAGCUGAGUUCCUGCUAAAUUAACUUGGAAGUUUUAACAUAUAUGCAGCCAUGAAACUGGAUCAAUCUAUAAUUUGUUAAUAAACUGGGGAUUGUCCCAGCCAUUAUGCUUGCAUUAUUGUGCUUGCACUGAUGUUGAAAGCGAAAUGGGAAACUUUUAUUGGCGUCGAAGUCUUUCUGCUAACUGAUUGCUCUUUACGAACACCUGAUGAAACUCAACAUGUAUAAGUGUAAUCGCAUACUACUGCAUAUGUAAAUCUGUACCUGACAGAUGAUCCAUUGUCUGUAAAUGAAAGACCGGAAGGCGAAGCCACUACUCACUUUCUACCGGGAGAAAAUACCAAGAGUCUGUAUAUCAAUGGGGGCAACACAAGCCUCCCUAUCUAUAGGCAGUGAGCAGACUCUUCAUCGGUCUUAAGCAAUUGUUCAAUAUCCUCACUUAUUCAACAGAUAGAGUCGAAUGAAGAAGAGUCACAAACCUUACGAGCUAUCUGUCCAUUGUGGACAGUUCAUAAGUACAAAAUACGUAAACACAGUGUUUAUGUUUGUCCAAAAAAGAUAUCAACACCGCCAUCACCAGCUUUAAUUUCAUUAGAUAUGUAAAGUCAAAUCAUACAAAUGGUUGCUUUUAUAUUCAUACCUUCAAUAUUAUCUUACCUUAUGUAAAACUAUUAUAAUUAGCUUUUGGUUUCAAUAUAGUCUCCCCUUUUAAUUAUAAUAACAGUCUUAACAACCCUCCUCUCCUCCAGCCUGCCUGAUAUCAUAUUUGCCUUAUUAAGGUACCCUAGCUAGCCCAUCGUUAAAACUUUUCAUAAGCAGAACCCGACAAUCGCAAGAGAUGAACUUUACUUUCUGAUUGGGAUCUAUAAACAAUUGCAAAGGCGGACGUGGGAAGGGGGGGGUGUCUGAGAUGGACUUGUCUGCAAUUGGACUUAAGUAUUUGGUAAGAGUAGAGCAGCGGUUUUGGUUUGGGUACUGA